AACGAACGCUGGCGGCAUGCCUAACACAUGCAAGUCGAACGAGACCUUCGGGUCUAGUGGCGCACGGGUGCGUAACGCGUGGGAACCUGCCUUUAGGUUCGGAAUAACUCAGAGAAAUCUGAGCUAAUACCGGAUGAUGUCUUCGGACCAAAGAUUUAUCGCCUUUAGAUGGGCCCGCGUUGGAUUAGCUAGUUGGUGGGGUAAAGGCCUACCAAGGCGACGAUCCAUAGCUGGUCUGAGAGGAUGAUCAGCCACACUGGGACUGAGACACGGCCCAGACUCCUACGGGAGGCAGCAGUGGGGAAUAUUGGACAAUGGGCGAAAGCCUGAUCCAGCAAUGCCGCGUGAGUGAUGAAGGCCUUAGGGUUGUAGAGCUCUUUUACCCGAGAUGAUAAUGACAGUAUCGUGAGAAUAAGCUCCGGCUAACUCCGUG
rnacentral:rRNA from 1 species